rnacentral:rRNA from 1 species
AAUCAACGCUGGCGGCGUGCCUCAGACAUGCAAGUCGAACGAUUAAAGCUCCCUUCGGGGGAGUGCAUAAAGUGGCGCACGGGUGAGUAACACGUAAGUAAUCUACCUUUGAGUGGGGAAUAACGUUCGGAAACGGACGCUAAUACCGCAUAAUGCAGCGGCAUCGCAAGAUGACAGUUGUUAAAGAUUUAUCGCUUGAAGAGGAGCUUGCGGCAGAUUAGCUUGNGGUAAGGUAACGGCUUACCAAGGCUACGAUCUGUAUCCGGUCUAAGAGGACGGUCGGACACACUGACACUGAAUAACGGGUCAGACUCCUACGGGAGGCAGCAGUCGGGAAUUUUGGGCAAUGGGCGAAAGCCUGACCCAGCAACGCCGCGUGAAGGAUGAAGUAUUUCGGUAAUGUAAACUUACGAAAGAA